AAUUUACAAAAAUAAAAGGAAACGUUUUCAUACCCUUGCUGUGUUAAUAUUAAAAGAGUGUAUGUAUGAAAAAAUGUACGAUGAUUUUUAUGAUGAUGCAUUUUUGAAUUUUUGAAUGAAUGUGUUCGGUUCUGAUGUGUGUGAAUGAAUGUCUCUUAUUGUUUAAUUUAUGACUGAGAUAUUAAAAUAUAAAAAUUUAUAUAAAUUCAUAAAAUGAAUGAAUGUUAUGUGAUAUGCAUUUUUACAUUAUAAAUCUAUGAUGAAUGAGUGUGUGAAAAAAAAAUUAUAGUUUUUAUUUUUGUUUUAUAAAAAUCAUAAUUGUUCUUUCUUCAAACAAAAAACAAUAACAAAACAACCAAAACAAAACAUCAUAGACAACAGAAACAUUUAUAAAAGAACAAACACACAAUGGGUAUGUUUUUAAAAAAGAAUUAAUAUAAUUAAAAGAAAAAAUGUUAAAGAUUUUAAACGGAAUUGAUUAACAAAAAAUAUUUCUUUUUCUUUAUUUUUAUUUUCAUACACUUAUAACACAUAAAUCAAAGAUAUAAAAACUUGAUUUAGUUAAGUUUAGAAAUUAUUAAUUAUAACAAAAUACGCUUACAAAAAAACAACAACAAAAAUAAAAUAAAACAUAGUAAAUCAUUCAGGUAAACAAAGACAACAAACAAAAUAAAAUACAAAACAACAACACAAUACAAUUAAUUAUAUACAAAAUAAAAAAAAAACUAACUAAUAACAAAAAUAUUACAAAUACAAAACAUAUUAUUACAUACCUACAUUAACAAAUUACGUAUAACGACGUAAACAUUCAAUAAAUAAAACAAUAACUUUAAACAAACAAACAAAAUACAAAGUCAUAAAGAAAAACAACACAUGACCAAAUUCACUUAGCCGUUUAAGAUCUUUAGUUAUUUAUAUAUUUUCUCUUAAUAUUCAUAAAUAAUAUUUAAAAUCUUAACGAAUCAUAUUACAGUUUCGUCGUUUUUGGUGGUUAUAUUUGCAAAUACGAAAAAGCGUUUUUCACAUAUUGGUCAUGUCAAAAUAAUCAAAUUUUGAGAAUAUUCUAGCCUCCUUUUCUAUAAACAUUAUAUUAGUGAAUAUUCAAAGCUUCCAAGUGCAGUGGUUUAAGCUUCUCUUUCAUCCUGUACUUCAAGUUCAACAACCACUCACUCUGACAAGAGAAUAGUUAUACAUGAGCAGUUUCCAUGGAUAUGAAUUUCGACGUACUAGAUUUGCCAACUGAAGGUUGCUGUCUAUGAAAAAAAAACAGACAGUUGAAAAAGUUGAGCAUUCUUCACAGUCCGCUUGGAAAUAUUGUUCUGGAAGGCGCCACAGAGCCACUUCAAUUAUAGCACCUAGACAAGUGUUUAAAAAUGGGACAAAACUCUUGUAUUUUUGUUUCAACUUUAAAUCGACAUAACAAAAGGAUAAGAAGUUUUCGAUACAACCCUAAUUUCAUAGAUUGCUCGUUUUUGUCUAAAGCGAUAUUGUCUCAGAAUAAGCUCUUUUUCAAUUUGAUGCCAAACUUUUUAAAUCAUGACUCAUGUUAAAGGUUAGUUUUUUUUUAGACAUGUAGCCCCUAAGAAGAAAAGUGACUUGCGUCAAAAUUUACUUUACAAAAAGUACAAACAUUUCUUAAAUUUCUUCACAAAAAAUUGUUCCUCCAAUAAUACACAUACAAGAGAAUGUUCAUAAAGUUAAUUAUUUCUUAAAAUAUAGAUUUAAUUUUAAAACAUAAGGAACCAAUUUUUAAAUGAAAAAAUAGAUGUUUUGAAUCAAGUCACUUUGCUUCUUAGGGAAGAUGUACAUUUUUGUUUUUGAAUAAGUCGAUAGCGAAACUAUGUCAGAAUUGAAUCAAGGUUUGAAGGCGACAUUGGUACAGUGGAUGUGUAGUGUGCUUAAACAGUGUAGUUUCGAACCAUACGAUAUUAAUUGUAUUAGAUGAGAUAGUAAACACCUUUAUUUCUCAAUCCACUGCGCCAAUAAUCUAACUAGUGUCGUGCAUUUGAGUUUCAUCUUAAAAGACCUUAGGUAUCUUAACGCAGGCAUUAAGUUGAAAUUAUUAUUAUUGUUAUUAUUAUCACUAUUACUACUGAUAGUGUAUAGCCCUGUCCAAAAAAUUAAUCAACAGUUAAAUAAGGGUUACGUUCAAGAGUUGUAUUGAAAGAAAAAAAAUUGGGUUUGAAGACUUAAAGAAGUAGGAGGCCGCUAGCAUUAUUCAAAUUGCGACGUCAAAAAACACUAAAAAGUUCUAUUUUUGUACAAGAAACAAAUUUAAAAAUUUAGUAAACUAAAGAUCAAAAUCCUUUUAAGUACCAUUGGCUUACUUGUUUUUAUUAUGAAAAAAAAAGAUAUGCAAAUAUAACUACCAAAAUUGUAACCCCUUAAAACUUGAAUUCAAACUUUUCGCCCGCUUAAGAUCUAAAGAAAAUCAUUAUUAUUAUUUUUGUAGUUUUAAGUCUUAUAGAAAAUAAGAAGAAUGUAUGUUUGUUACCUUUGUGUAUGCAUUGAAAAAUUAUUAAUGUAUCUAUGACAAAAAAAAGAAACUGUUUUCUGAAAGUCGAAGAAUGAAAGAGUGUAUUUUAUGCUAUUUGCUGUGAAAUUUAUUAUUAGAAUGAAAAGAAGAAUGAAGGUGAUGGUAAUUAUAUCACAACAAUAUAACAAUGAUGAAGAUAACUAACGAUGAUGAUGAAGAAGAUGACGAUAACUCUAAAAUUACGACGUAGACAACACAACCGACUGACCGUGUGAUAUAACCAUAAGUGUGAUUUUGUGGAUGUGUUUUUGAGAGAGAGAGAGAAAGAAAUAAAAUGAAAAAUACUUUUAUUUAAGUAGCUGUGGUAUCAUUCCAAGUGUGACCAAACUCUGUGAGCGAAAGAAGUCGUUGUGAACGAACUUAGAAUUAAUUAAGAUUUAGAAUAAAAAAAUAUAUCAAAUAAAAUAUUUGUUUUUAAUUUUUAGACUAUCUUAUGGGAAUUGUGUUUGGCCGUAAGACUCCAUCUCAAUUCCCAUUGUAUGGCUCUAAACUCCGAAAACAAAUGUUAAAAAAAAGAAAAAAAAAAUAGAGAAACAAAAUAUUGAAUAAUAUUAAUAAUUCUAGUACGAUUGUUUAAAUGAAAUGUGUCUGUGAUUACGAGAAAGUUUCUUGCGAAAUAAGUUUAAAGUUAACUAAAAGAAUAAGUAAAACAUUUUUUUCUUUUUUACAAUUUUACUAAAAGAAGAAAAAAACUACUAUUAGGAUAUCCAAAAUAUUUUGUAAUAAAUAAAUAAGUAAACAAAAAAAAAAGAAUUAAUAAAGAAAAAGAAACAAAAAAAAAUGCAAGGAACUUUUUCAAAAACUCUAGUAUGUAUUUUACGAUAAUAAAAUUAAAAGAAAAAUUAUAAACAUAAAAUAAAAACAAAAAUGCUGUGAGUUUUGUGUAAGUGUGUGUAGAUGUUGUGAAUGUAUCCGAGCGCGCGCGUAUAUUAUGUGUGUGUGUGGGAGAAAGAGAGCAAUUGUAUGUGUGUUAUCUGAGAGCAACAAGCAUACAUGGUCAUUUUACGUAAAUCAAAUUAAAAAACAACACACAACAUAAAAACAUUAAAAAAAAAAUACAAAAACAAUGAAGAUAAUAAUAAUAAAAAUAUAUAUAUAAAAAACAACAACUCUUGAAACAAAACAAUUAAAACCCAUUAUACGAGUAUAAUUAAGGAAAUCAAUUAAAUUAAUUAAUUUUCUAAUAAAAAGAAAAAUUAUCGAAAAAUUCUUGUCACUUAAAAAUAAAACCAUAAAUUAAUUAAAUUACCUUAAAACUGUAUAGGUAUUUCUUAAAAAAUCAGAGAUAAAAAAUAAAAAUCAAUUUAUUAAUAAAUUAAAAAAGAAAAAACAUUUUUUGUAUGACUGAUAGUUUGUACGAAUUUUGAUGUGUGAAUAAAAUACUUUUUGUUUUUUUUUUUGAAUGGCGACUAAAAGCUA